CUGGGGUGCUCGAGUGGCGAACGGGUGAGUAACACGUGGGUGAUCUGCCCUGCACUUCGGGAUAAGCCUGGGAAACUGGGUCUAAUACCGGAUAGGACCAUCGUUUAGUGUCGGUGGUGGAAAGUUUUUCGGUGUGGGAUGAGCUCGCGGCCUAUCAGCUUGUUGGUGGGGUAAUGGCCUACCAAGGCGUCGACGGGUAGCCGGCCUGAGAGGGUGUACGGCCACAUUGGGACUGAGAUACGGCCCAG
rnacentral:rRNA from 1 species